UACGUAGAUUAAUCAUGGUGAAUGAUUUCAGACUACCCAGUACUUGCUGCUUAGCACCCAAAAAUGAAGCCAGUCUUGCUCCUUAAAUUAUGAAAUACAUACGUAGAUUAAUCAUGGUGAAUGAUUUCAGACUACCCAGUACUUGCUGCUUAGCACCCAAAAAUGAAGCCAGUCUUGCUCCUUAAAUUAUGAAAUACAUACGUAGAUUAAUCAUGGUGAAUGAUUUCCGAUUACCCAGUACUUGCUGCUGAGCACCCAAAAACAAAGCCAGUCUUGCUCCCAAAAUAACCAACCGUUCAAAAAAAAAAAAAACAUGCAUAGUUCAAAA
rnacentral:misc_RNA from 1 species